GCGACACAAGAGUCUUCCAGCUUUUACCACCUUGUGAAUUCUAUGUAUUUAUUAUUCCCUUUGAAAUGGAAGGGGACACAACAGAGAUACCCGGGGGUCUUCCAUCUGUAUAUCAGAAAGCACUGGGUCAAAGAGAACAGAAGAUACAGAUCUGGCAGAAAACUGUGAAGGAGGCUCAUUUGACAAAGUGAGGAAACCGAAGAACUGAGGAAUUAAGUACUUUACCCAAAGUCACACAGGAGCCAGGAUUCACACCUAAUCAACCUGGUUCCAGAGGGAUCAAAGGAAGCAGUUCCAGGUACUGGUAGAGAACAAGUUUUAUGAAUGGUUGAUUAAUACAGGACAUCGCCAACAGCUGGACAGCCUUGUACCCCCUGCAGCAGGCUCCAAACAAGCAGCUGGAUAAGGAUCUUACAUGCAGACACUGGGCCCUGGAAAUACAAGGAUAAAUGGAGGAUGGUGCUCAUCUUGAAACUUGAAACUAAAUUGGGAAGGUGCUAUUGCUGCUUAAGAGACAUUGGGACUUUUCUGUCUUUUUUUUUUUUUUUUUUUGAGGCAGAGUCUUGUUCUGUCGCCCAGGCUGGAGUGCAGUGGCGCGAUCUCGGCUCACUGCAAGCUCUGCCUCCCGGGUUCACGCCAUUCUCCUGCCUCAGCCUCCUGAGUAGCUGGGACUACAGGCGCCCGCCACCACGCCCGGCCAAUUUUUUUUGUAUUUUUAGUAGAGACGGGGUUUCACCGUGUUAGUCAGGAUGGUCUCGAUUUCCUGACCUCGUGAUCCGCCCAUCUCGGCCUCCCAAAGUGCUGGGAUUACAGGCGUGAGCCACCGUGCCCAGCCUUCUGUUCUAUUUAAGAACUUUGAUUUCCAUUCCAUUUUCAUUUAUUACUGUUUAGGCCGAAUUUUCGCUAAACUUCUGACUUUCAUAUAAACAUAUUGCUUAUAGAACAUCAGAAGACUCGUCUUUGUGAUGCCCAAAUGAAAAAGUUGGUGAAGGUAGUACCAUUGUAUGUAUGUUAAUAUUAAAGCAACUGAGUGUAGAUUUGC
rnacentral:lncRNA from 10 species